rnacentral:rRNA from 1 species
UUUAUGGAGAGUUUGAUCCUGGCUCAGGAUGAACGCUGGCGGCGUGCCUAAUACAUGCAAGUCGAGCGAACGGACGAGAAGCUUGCUUCUCUGAUGUUAGCGGCGGACGGGUGAGUAACACGUGGAUAACCUACCUAUAAGACUGGGAUAACUUCGGGAAACCGGAGCUAAUACCGGAUAAUAUUUUGAACCGCAUGGUUCAAAAGUGAAAGACGGUCUUGCUGUCACUUAUAGAUGGAUCCGCGCUGCAUUAGCUAGUUGGUAAGGUAACGGCUUACCAAGGCAACGAUGCAUAGCCGACCUGAGAGGGUGAUCGGCCACACUGGAACUGAGACACGG